rnacentral:rRNA from 1 species
AGAGCGAACGCUGGCGGCAGGCCUAACACAUGCAAGUCGAGCGCCCGUAGCAAUACGGGAGCGGCAGACGGGAUAGUAACACGUGGGAACGCGCCCUUCGGUUCGGAAUAACUCAGGGAAACUUGAGCUAAUACCGGAUACGCCCUUACGGGGAAAGAUUUAUUGCCGAAGGAACGGCCCGCGUCCGAUUAGCUAGUUGGUGAGGUAAUGGCUCACCAAGGCGACGAUCGGUAGCUGGUCUGAGAGGAUGACCAGCAUCACUGGGACUGAGACACGGCCCAGACUCCUACGGGAGGCAGCAGUGGGGAAUAUUGGACAAUGGGCGAAAGCCUGAUCCAGCCAUGCCGCGUGGAUGAUGAAGGCCUUAGGGUUGUAAAGUCCUUUUAACGGGGAAGAUAAUGACGGUACCGUAGAAUAAGCCCGGCUAACUUCGUGCCAGCAGCCGC